GAUGAACGCUGGCGGCGUGCCUAAUACAUGCGAGUCGAGCGAACAGACGAGGAGCUUGCUCCUCUGACGUUAGCGGCGGACGGGUGAGUAACACGUGGAUAACCUACCUAUAAGACUGGGAUAACUUCGGGAAACCGGAGCUAAUACCGGAUAAUAUAUUGAACCGCAUGGUUCAAUAGUGAAAGACGGUUUUGCUGUCACUUAUAGAUGGAUCCGCGCCGCAUUAGCUAGUUGGUAAGGUAACGGCUUACCAAGGCAACGAUGCGUAGCCGACCUGAGAGGGUGGUAGGCCACACUGGAACUGAGACACGGUCCAGACUCCUACGGGAGGCAGCAGUAGGGAAUCUUCCGCAAUGGGCGAAAGCCUGACGGAGCAACGCCGCGUGAGUGAUGAAGGUCUUCGGAUCGUAAAACUCUGUUAUUAGGGAAGAACAAAUGUGUAAGUAACUAUGCACGUCUUGACGGUACCUAAUCAGAAAGCCACGGCUAACUACGUG
rnacentral:rRNA from 1 species